AUAGGAAAUUACCAUUAUUAUUAUACAUUGUAGUUGGUAAAAGCAAUUUGAUUGGCUUAGAGCGUACAGUUAAAUCGCGCAAUCACGCAACCUACAGAAAAUUCAGUUAUCUGCUAGCAGAUAACUCAGUUAUCUGCUAGCAGAUAACUGAAUUUUGUGUAGGUUGCGUGAAAUUGAAUGAGUGUACAUUUCAAAUGAGUGUACAUUUCAAUUUUCAAAUGAAUGUACAUUUCAUAAUUGUAAUGUUUACUUUAACAAGUAAAUAUUUUAAUACGUUAACAUCUUAACGAUAAUAUGUUUCUUUUAUAUUUGUAAUUAAUUUAACUGUUGGACUUCCGGAGACUUGUUUAUAGAAACGUUUUACUUGAACAUCUUUGCCAGAAAUCAUAUUGAAUCAUAUAGUAUUAAAAUACUAUGUGUAUUAUUCUUCAAAUGUAUAAUAAAACAAUUAUUGAAUUCGGUUUUUGCGAUAUGCAAAAUUAUCAAGGUCUCGGUAAGCGUUAUCAACCUCGCCUUCGGCUCGGCUGAUAACGCUUACCUCGACCUUGAUAAUUCCGCAUAUCACAAAAACCUCAUCCAAUAAUUGUUAAUUAUU